CGCCUCUCGAAACCUAUGAGAGGUCCAGCCUGCCCAGUGACUCUGUUCAACGGCCGCGGUAUCCUAACCGUGCGAAGGUAGCGUAAUCACUUGUUCUUUAAAUGAGGACUAGUAUGAAUGGCACCACGAAGGUUAUACUGUCUCCUUUUUCUAAUCAGUGAAACUAAUCUUCCCGUGAAGAAGCGGGAAUAAAAAUAUAAGACGAGAAGACCCUAUGGAGCUUUAAACAAACAUACAAUUGCCUCUUCUUAUAAAAAUUCCAGAAAAAACACUUCUAUUUAGGCACUUUGAUAUAAAGUUUUAGGUUGGGGUGACCACGGAGUAAAAAACAACCUCCGCAGCGAAAGGGACUUUUCCCCUAAACCAAGGGCCACGACCCUAAGAAUCAAUAAAUUGACACUAAUUGACCCAAUUAAUUGAUCAAUGAACCAAGUUACCCUAGGGAUAACAGCGCAAUCCACUUCAAGAGCCCCUAUCGACAAGUGGGUUUACGACCUCGAUGUUGGAUCAGGGUAUCCUAGUGGUGCAGCCGCUACUAAUGAAUGGUUCGUUUUGUUCAACGAUUAAAACCCUA
rnacentral:rRNA from 1 species